rnacentral:rRNA from 1 species
UACGUAGGGUCCGAGCGUUUGUCCGGAAUUAUUGGGCGUAAGGCGCGUGUAGGCGGCUUUGCAAGUCGGGUGUGAAAGCCCUCAGCUCAACUGAGGAAGUGCGCCCGAAACUGCAGAGCUUGAGUGCCGGAGAGGGUGGCGGAAUUCCCCAAGUAGAGGUGAAAUUCGUAGAUAUGGGGAGGAACACCGGUGGCGAAGGCGGCCACCUGGACGGUAACUGACGCUGAGACGCGAAAGCGUGGGGAGCAAACAGG